GAACGAGGAUAUAUCCUUCGGGAUGUAAGCCGAGUGGCACAAGGGUGAGCAAUGCAUAGAUUACCUACCUUUAGGAUAAGGGCAACUUUGUGAAAACGGAGCUAAUACUUAAUAAUACAAAAGAAAAUAAUUUUCUUUUGUCAAAGGGAGGGUAGCAAUACCUUUCGCCUAGAGAGGGGUUUAUGUCCUAUCAGCUUGUUGGUGGGGUAAUAGCCCACCAAGGCGAAGACGGGUAGCCGGUUUAAGAGGAUGGUCGGCCACACUGGGACUGAGACACUGCCCAGACUUCUACGGAAGGCUGCAGUCGAGAAUCUUUCGCAAUGCCCGAAAGGGUGACGAAGCGACGCCGCGUGGGUGAAGAAGGCCUUCGGGUUGUAAAGCCCUGUCAGGAGUUAUGAAAUGUAAGUGCGCUAAUAUCGUGCUUAUUUGACAAAGGCUCCAAAGGAAGCCACGGCUAACUCUGUGCCAGCAGCCGCGGUAAUACAGAGGUGGCGAGCGUUGUUCGGAAUUAUUGGGCGUAAAGAGCACGUAGGUGGGUUUGCAAGUCAGAUGUGAAAGCCUUCUGUUCAACGGAAGAAUUGCAUCUGAAACUGCUAAUCUUGAGUAUAGGAGGGGAGAAUGGAACUUCUGGUGGAGCGGUGAAAUGCGUAGAUAUCAGAAGGAACGCCGGCGGCGAAAGCGAUUCUCUGGCCUAUUACUGACACUCAGUGUGCGAAAGCUAGGGGAGCAAACGGGAUUAGAUACCCCGGUAGUCCUAGCCGUAAACGAUGGGCACUAAGUAGAGGGAAUUACCUAUAUUCUCUCUGCCGUAGCUAACGCAUUAAGUGCCCCGCCUGGGGAGUACGGUCGCAAGGCUAAAACUCAAAAGAAUUGACGGGGGCUCGCACAAGCGGUGGAGCAUGUGGCUUAAUUCGAUGCAACGCGAAAAACCUUACCGGGGCUUGACAUGAUAGAAGUAGGAACCUGAAAGGGGGACGAACGGUAUCCAGUCCGUAGCUAUCACAGGUGUUGCAUGGCUGUCGUCAGCUCGUGUCGUGAGACGUUGGGUUAAGUCCCCUAACGAGCGAAACCCUUGUUUUUAGUUACCAGCGGGUUAUGCCGGGUACUCUAGAAAGACUGCCGUCGUCAAGACGGAGGAAGGUGGGGAUGACGUCAAGUCAUCAUGGCCCUUAUGCCCCGGGCUGCACACGUGCUACAAUGGUCGGUACAGACGGAAGCGAAGCCGAGAGGUGAAGCGAAUCCUAAAAAGCCGAUCUCAGUUCGGAUUGGAGGCUGAAAUUCGCCUCCAUGAAGUUGGAAUCGCUAGUAAUCGCGGAUCAGCAAUGUCGCGGUGAAUAUGUUCCCGAGCCUUGUACACACCGCCCGUCAAGCCACCCAAGCAGGAUGCACCCGAAAACAUUAUAUCUAACCAGGGCAACUUGGAGGAAAAUGUUGAAGGAGUGUUUUGUGA
rnacentral:rRNA from 1 species